AUAUGUACUGAGUAACGGCUCUGUGUUGGGCACCAUACCAGUUCCUACAGACUCAUCGGUGGACAAAACAAACCAAAAUCUGUGCUUUUUGACAGCUUCAGUUCGAGUGGGGAACAGGAAAACAAGCAAUCGGCUCAUGUUCUCAGAAAAAGUACGGUGACGGGUCACUCGGAGUGUCGCAUUUUUAUGUUCAGCAGUCAAAAACAGCAAUAGCGUCCUGGGCUCCGAACCCAGGCCCUUUUCGAUCCAAAGCCACAAAUGCUAUUCUGAUGACCUGGACAGAGACCAUUUGCAGCAUAUUUUUGCCUGCACUCUCAUUAGGCAUUUAUCCACGGGAUACAGGUGUGCUGUUUCGAAGGGACACAUGCACCCCCAUGUUUACGGCAGCGCUAUCAACGAUAGCCAAAGUAUGGAAAGAGCCCAAAUGUCCAUCGGCGGAUGAAUGGAUAAAGAAGAUGUGGUAUAUAUAUAUAUAUAUACCAUGGAGUAUUACUCGGCAAUCCAAAAGAAUGAAAUCUUGCCAUUUGCAACUACGGGGAUGGAACUGGAGGGUAUUACGCUAAGCGAAAUUAAUCCGUCAGAGAAAGACAAAAAUCAUAUGGCUUCACUCAUAUGAGGACUUUAAGAGACAAAACAGAUGAACAUAAGGGAAGGAAAACACAAAUAAUAUGAAAACAGGGAGGGGGACAAAACAGAAGAGACUCAUAAAUAUGGAGAACAAAGGGAGGGUUACCGGAGGGGUUGUGGGAGGGGGGAUGUGCUAAGUGGGUAAGGGGCACUAAGGAAUCUAAUCCUGAAAUCAUGGUUGCACUCUAUGCUAACUAAAUUGGAUGUAAAUUUUAAAAAUUAAAAAAAAAUUUUUUUUUAAUUAAAAAACCCAAAUAAAUAAAUAAAUAAAUAAACUUUUUUUUUUUUUUUUUUUUUUUUUUUUUUUAGUGUUAUCAUAAAAGGGCACCCGGGUGGCUCAGUCGGUUAGGCGUCCGACUUCGGCUCAGGUCAUGAUCUCACAGCUCAUGAGUUCAAACCCCACAAUGGGCUCUGUGCUGACAGCUCAGAGCCUGGAGCUUGCUUCGGAUUCUGUGUCUCCCUUCCUCUCUCUGCCCGUCCUCGCUUGCGCUCUAUCUCUGUCUCUCCCUCAAAAUGUUUAAAUAAACGUUAAAACUAAAUUAAAAACAAUUUUUAAAAGUGCAUCAUAAAAACACAAAGGGCACCCAUGGUAAGUGUAUAGCUCCAUACAUUGUCACAAAAUGACCACGCCCAGGUGACUGUAAUUCAGAUCAAGAAACAGGACAGUCUCAGUACCCAGCAGACCCUCCCCCAUGCCCUCUCCAGGGCUAGCCUCUCAGGAGGAGCGACUACCCCGACUUCCAACACUUGGGGUUCUUUUUUCUUUGUUUUGAACUCUGUACAGAUGGAAUCAGAGAGUGUGACUCUCGUAUCUGGCUUUUUUCAACUAUGCAGAGAUUUUAUGCAUCUGCCCUUAUUACAAACCUUCUACAUCACUGUCCCAUUGACAAGGAAACCAUUAAUCUGCCCGGUGCAACAGUUUGCUCUCUUCAAAACGCACCAAGUAAAGACAUUCACGUCGGAAAUAAAUGUAUACACGGCUGCAUUAUAUGCUUCAGCCUGCCAAUAAGCACAUCCGGUUUCUAACAGAGGAGGAAAGGAAUAUCCACUGGGCCUUUUUAAAGGCAGAAGAGAACCUGGGCUUUGCUGUGCAGCCACGAUACGAAAAUAAAGGACGGUGGGAAACCAAGUUGGGGGCUCUGUGCUUUGAACUGAAGCAUAAGGGUAGUGAUGUGCACACAAUGUUGAUGGACCAGCACAGAAGAUGAAAGCCUGCUGUAUGAUGGCAGAUGGUAUGUGUUCCCCAUAAACAGGCCACUGCAGGUGAUAUCUUACUUCCUGUAGUUGGUAGUUCACAUUAUUAGACAAGUGACUUCCUUAGCGUCUGGUCAAGGAAAGGACAAGCAUCGUCAUCAUCAUCAGAUCAUCUUUCAUGUCUAAGCUGAAU